CCCCUUGCUUUCCGAUUUUUAAAAAGGCAAAGGCGCGUGUUGGUUUGACAAAGGCGCGGCUUCAGCACCCUGACACCGUUUUCUUCCCUCGUCUGGCUGCGCUGACCAGACUUCCCAAAGCGGCCUCCUGGUCUUUUCCUAACUUAGUGGAAAUGUCUGUCUCGCUAUUGAGCAUAAUGCGGGCGGAGGCUUGGAGAGCGGCGUCUGCUUUUCCUUGGAGGAAACCUCUGAAGGGAACUGCUUUUACAAGAGCACAUCAGAAAAGCACAGAUUGGCCUGCGCGCCUGCGAGGGGCUCCCGGCCCCCUCCCCGCGCUGCCCACGCUCUGCCCGGGGGUGAAGUUUCUCCUGCGUUUCCGCUUGAACGGCAUCCAGCUGCCUCGCCUUUAAAAUGCCAGGCCGGCCGCCGCUCCGCUCAGAGCCCCCUCUCGGCGGCUGGCCCCGGCUCGCCCGCACCGCCGGGGCGCUGACUCAGCCGCAGCCCGGCCGCUGCCCGCCGAGCCGAGCCGGGCCUGGCAGCCCCUGGCAGCCCCGCGCCCACCCUGUGCGCAACCCCCUGCGACCCCGGCCGAGCAGCGCGCGGCAGCCAGCCAGCCAGCCAGCCAGGGCCCCGAGAGCGCAGGGGACCGGCCUCGCCAGCCCCGUCGGUGCCCGUGCCCACUCUCUGAGUGAAAGCACACUGCUCUCCUGGCUCCCAGCUGCGAUGCCCAGCCAUCCCCCCAUCUGUCGUGCAGCGACCCGAUCCAGGCUGCCAACCCACCCAGUGGCCCUUGUGAAGUGGUGACCACUCCGACCAGCAGGGGUGGAAGAUGGUACCAGCCAACCCCAAGCCGGACGAGGAGCCCGCAGCCGCAGCCGCAGCCGCUGCCGCCGCGAGAUGGAGGAGCCCACGCCCGAGCCCGUCUACGUGGACGUGGACAAAGGACUGACCCUGGCCUGCUUUGUCUUCCUCUGUCUCUUCCUCAUUGUCAUGAUUAUCCGCUGUGCCAAGGUCAUCAUGGACCCUUACAGCGCCAUCCCCACGUCCACCUGGGAAGAGCAGCACCUGGAUGACUGAGGCGUGGUCGCAGGGCUGCCAGGAUGCGCCACCGACCUGCCAGGAUGCGCCCCCGGCCUCCCAGGAUACGCCACCGGCCUGCCAGCCCCUAGACACGAGGAACGAACUAGGCCCCCGGGGGUAGGGAGGACGUUCAACUUGGCCUCGCUUCCUCUCCCACGAGCACCAGAGUGACAGGCUCGGGGUGCUGUGAGCGUUCCUGCCAUGGCCAGUCCAGGAACCACUGUGACUAUGGGGCGGUCACCUCCCCAGGCCCCAGCACAGACACGCACCAUCACACCACAGUGGUCUCGUCCUGAGGAGACCUCCUGCCCUUAAAAUUCAAACUAGCACAUGGGCUGGCCCUGGGUGUUCCCGGCACAGGCGUCCCACCGGACCCCGCCUCCCCAUGGGCCACUGGCGCAGCAGGUGGCAAAGCCGGAAGGGAGAUGGAAGGGGCCUCACCAGAAAUCUCACACAGGGCAUAGGGCUGCUUCCCAGCCGUAUUUUUUUAAACAAGAGGGGUAUAUUUUUCCUGUUAAAAAUGAGAUGAGCAUUUUAGAAAUUUGGGAAAAUGCAGAAAAAUAGAAGGAAACGGGGGAAAAGAAUACUUAUAAUCCCACCUCCCAGAAGUCACCAUUCUGCAAUACUUUCUCCCAGCCUUUUUCACACAUAUUUUUUUAAAUAGUCACGUUCGCGACGCAUGCGCGAUGUUGUAUCAUCCGUGUACAGCAUUCCGCCAGACCCCCUUCACGGCCGUCCCUGCUCGUGGCUGGCUACACAGAGUCCCACCAGGUGGCUAGGUCGUAGCUUAAUAAUCAUCUCCUUUGGUCACAUUUAUUGAUUUUGCUCAUUUUUCCUCGCACAAAAUUAUUCCACCCAGUAACCUCUUGAGAGUCUAUAACAUGCAUAUUGGAUGGGGAGACCAGGGUUCUAGCCCUGUAAUCACUCAAAGGCUGUGUGACUGGGAGCAGGUCCCUUCACCUCUUGGUGUCUCAGUUCCCUCACAUGACCACGUGAAGGAAAAGCCCUGCCCGUUCUAUUGUGUGUAGACCUCACGGGAAUGAAAGGACAGGAGGGGGCUGCUUAAAUGAAAUGUGCCAUAGGUGGGUGCGGGCGAGGACUGAGCUGGUGAGAAGGGGUCUCCUGGGGACUCCCUGUGCCCUCUUUUCCCUACGAUCCACCCCACCUCUCACCCCGUCACCUACUAUGACGUCAGAGCAGAGCCCACAAGCCUGGCCCCAAGUCCCAACUCCUCUACUUCCUUGCUAUAUGACCCCCAAGAAUCACUCACCUUCUCUGAGCCCCAAUUUCCUCAUCUGCCAAGUGGGGGAAUGACAUCUACCUCACAAGGUGGUUGUGAGGAUGAAAUGAAAGAACACAGGCAAACCUAGUGUCCUUUCUUGAUUCUGACACUCCAGAAGCCAGGGGUCUGAGAGGGGAGGAGCCGAGAUUCUGGGUGCCCCCCCCCCGCCACCGUAGAGCCUGGAACCCUAGUUGUCCUCAGUUUCCUACAGGCUACUUCCAACAGGCCGAACCUCCCAGCCAGGACCCCAGUCAGAGGAAUGCUCACAGCAACCUCUCUCAGCACCUGAUCUCAAGGGAUACAGUGUCUAUUAAUUUACGCAAUUGUCAUUGUCAUCAGUAUUCAUAUACACUUUGAAGUUAAACAAGACCGCCCGAAUGCCCCUUCCUCUGAAUGCAUUCAUCCCACCCGUCCAAGGCAUGGCCUGCUGGCCGCCAGAAGAGACCUGCAGCUGUGAAGAAGCUCAAGACUCCCUUCCCACCAACCUGUGUCCCAGCCAUGGGUCCCACUCCAACCCAGGCCACUGGGGAAACAGGUUUCCAAAGCACUGUCACAAAGGGACAGCUGGUAAAGGCAGUGGACCAAGAUGCGUUGGAGGCUCUGCAUCAGGAAAGGACCGAGAGCAGGGACCUGGAGCACUGCCUCAGGCCCCGCAGCAGCCUUCACUCUGCAGCCUACCUCAGAAAUACCGAGCACUUCUGGGAAAAGCCCAUCAGCGUGGAGUGACAAUGUCUGUACAUCAGAACCAGCUCCCAACCAGCUGGUGGCAGAUCCCAAGGGACAGAGAGAGAGGUCUUGAAGACCUCACCUGGAGAUGCGUUGGAACUCUCAGUAGUGAAAACCAGGAUGCCCUCGGACCCGCUGCUCAAAUGGUGACGAAGGACCAACAGCAUUUGCAACACUGAGGAGCUUGUUGGAAAUCCAAAAUCACGGCCCCACUCCAGACCUAGAGGAGCAGAAUCUCUGGGGUGGGGCCCAGAAUCUACCAGCAAGACCCACCAAGUGAUCUGUAUGCACACGAAUGGCUGAGAGGCACUGCCCUGGGGUCCCAUUGUCCCGAUAAUUCCUUUCUAAACCUAGAUUGGCUCCCACCCUAUCUUCGCUCUUUUUCUGUUGUUGAAAGGGGACACAACACUUCGGAAAGGACAGAAAAUUUAAAAAUCACUCUCCACCCAAGUCUCCAACAAAACGGUGAUUUUCAUUGUGUGUUGGUAUGUUCCCUUCAAAUCCUUGUCCAUAUGCAAGAUUUUUUCCCCCCAUAAAGGCUAUCUGUUACAUAAUUUAAAACAUACUUUCUCCUAAAAUUACAUCCUAAGCGUGUUUCUGCUACAGUCUUCCCAGUCAUCAUUUCAGGGGUUAUCAACCAUGCCGCCUAGAGCACGUGCAUAAUUAUCCAGGCUCCUACUAAGUGCUUGGGUUGCUGUCAUUUUUCCUAUGAUCCAUGCAGCAAGAGGAAAAAGAAAGGUAAAGACGGAUAUGCUGACCCCUGGGAGCCUGCUCAGCACAAUGGAGAACAAGUAUUUAAGCCGCACACCCUCCACCUAAGAGACACAAGGAGGAGAAAGACCUAAGAAUUCGAUGGUAUUGGGGGGGGGGUACCACUGGAAUUUCAAGCCCCCGCUGAUGCUUUAUAUGCUGCUCAAGGAGGGAGAUGUUCCUUUAUGACCAGAGCGCCUUCACCAGCCUCUGGCUAUCUGACAUGAAGUUCGGGGCUGUGGAUGGAGAGAGAAACUGUCCAGCAAAAGAAAUGAAUAGAAUUGUAGCAGACGGGAAGCUGGCAGAGAGGAAGUGAAAAGCACUCAGAGAGGCCUGGGAGGUUGGCCAUGCUCCAGGACUUCAGGGAAAAUGUGGCCACAAAGGGACUCCCUGCCCCAGGGAACGGAUGAUGGACUGUCCAGACAGUGGUGUCUGCGGCCAGUUUUAAGAAGCUGCCUGCACGGUGCCCUGUCCAGCCCCUUCUGUUGAUGCAGACCCUCAGUAAAGUCUGA